CCAAUAGCGUAUAUUAAAGUUGUUGCAGUUAAAAAGCUCGUAGUUGAAUUUCGGGAUCAAUAUAUCGGUCGUGCCAUCGGUACGUACUGGUAUCAUUGGUUUCUCCUUUCUGACGAACCAUGAUGUCAUUAAUUUGGUGUUAUGGGAAGUUAGGACUGUUACUUUGAAAAAAUUAGAGUGUUUAAAGCAGGCUUUAGCUUGAAUACAUUAGCAUGGAAUAAUGAAAUAGGACGUUCGAACCUAUUUUGUUGGUUUCUAGGAUCAACGUAAUGAUUAAUAGGGAUAGUUGGGGGCAUUAGUAUUCAAUUGUCAGAGGUGAAAUUCUUGGAUUUAUUGAAGACUAACUACUGCGAAAGCAUUUGCCAAGGAUGUUUUCAUUAAUCAAGAACGAAAGUUAGGGGAUCGAAGACGAUCAGAUACCGUCGUAGUCUUAACCAUAAACUAUGUCGACUAGGGAUCGGAUGAUGUUAAUUUUUUAAUGACUCAUUCGGCGCCUUACG
rnacentral:rRNA from 1 species